ensembl:lncRNA
AUGACAUUUCGUUUGUUUAAAUGGAAAUAUGCAUGUCCAAAGAAUUCUGAGAUGUUUUAAUCAAAAAGCAAAAAAAGAAAAGAAAAAAAAACUUUUUUUUUAAAUCUAGUUUUCUGGCACCAAAAAAGAAAAAAAAGUCUUUGGAUUUCAUUGUUUUAGGGGAAAAAAAACAUUUCCAGACCAACCCUAGGGCUUCCCCCUUGUUACUGUUUCCAAUAACAUGACAAAUAAAUUGUCUCUCUGUAAGAUCUGCAUGGGAUCACAACUGAAUGAAUUCCAGCUGAGAAAAACUUCCGCCUGAUGUCUCAGGUCAUGUCUACACAGGAGCUCUCAGGGAAGUUAAGGCGAACAGAGGCAGCUAAUAUGGGGAUAAAUAAUAUCUAAACUCCUUGUCUCGCAGCAGCGUUGUGGUUAGUUGAUUCGUGUUUGAGAUCCUCAGAGGAAAGGUGCUAUAGAAUGGCCAUGUAUUCAGAGUAGCGAUUUGCUUGAAUUUUGGCUCACCCCGGGCCAUCUGCUACAUUACACAGCACAGCUCAUAGCUCUCUUCUACGGCCCUUAAACAACCUGCCCUGUUGGAACCAGGAGCACAUAUAGAUGUACGAAAUACGGCAGUGAUGAAGAACGGGUAAGGCAAGGAGCUUGGGGAAAUUUAAUCUCGAUCAUAUUUUAUUUUAAAUAUGUCUUAACAUUUUAGGACGAUGAUGAUAAUAGAACCUUAUUUCCACAGGAGAUGUCCGAACGGUACAUUGUGCUGUUCCCCUUCCAGCUGUUGAUUCUAUCAGUGGAUCACAUGAAGAAGGCGUUUGUCUACCAGGGCCUGCUUCCGCUGGCGGGGAUGAGUGUGAGGGAUGUGCCGAGUGACACCGGCUGCAUGUUUGAAAUGAUGGGGCCCAUGAUAGAAUCCAGGAUCAUCUCAUGCCCGAGUCCAGCUGAAUUCCACAUCUGGGUUCUCAGCAUCCAGCAGCACAUCAAGAUGGCAAAUGCUCACUGUCCAGCCCACCCCAGCAGUAUCAUUCCUUUCCUGGUUCCAUGUGAUGAGCAGUGGAAGAAACGGAAGCUGAUGAAGCAUCUGUUUUACACCACCAUUCUGAAGUGGGAAGGGAAACCCAUCCAGCACCUAGGACGGAUACACUACCUGGCCAUGGUGCAGGUGGCUUAUGCCAGCAUGGGGGACUUUAAAGAGCGGCUGCUGGUGCUGUUUCCAGAGGAUCUGGUUUUCCUCUCCGUCGACAGAGAGAGAACCUGCAUUGCGUAUGAGGGAAAACUCCCUCUAGCUGGGAUCCAGGCAAAGGAGAAAUCUGCUGUGCUGGGGCGGCUGGAAUUUGAAAUCACCGGUAUGCCAGGGAUUGAUGAGCGUGGUGAGGGUGGAAGCCUGACGGAACCGAUCCUGGUCACCUGCUGCACCGCUGAAGAUUAUGAAAAAUGCCUCUUCUACCUACAAAAGCCUGAGCAAAACCUUGACACGGUGACUGUCCAGCCACCACCCAUGGUGCCGAAGAAAUCGCUGCAGCGUUAGAACUAUGGAGCCUAUGGAAAAGGCCCAGUGACAGCGCUGACUGUAGGGGCCAAACUGAUGGCUAAGGAUGUUGGAGGAAGGAGCCCACCACUGGCAAAACUAGAGAUGGACCAGAAAUAACUUGAAUCCAAACCCCUCCAGACUGAGAAGGUUGAAUUGUGAGUCCUCCAUCUGAACCUACCCUGUGGGGUAUGGUCCCCAGCUGGACUCAUUCAUUUGUGCCCAGAUUAGCUGCUGUUCCCGAUGGCCUGUUGGAAUCCCCUGGAUAUAAUCCCGGUUGAUCAGACUCCUUGGGGAGGAAUCCUUCCUGGUUUGAUCACUUUAUUUAUUGGCUGCUGCUGCUUGGAGAGAGAAAUAACCUAAGGUAGUGUGUAAAUAGGAUGAAUAAAACCCAUCAGCCCAAAUCCA